CACAUUAAAUCUACAAAUGGCCGCGGCCCCUCUUACAGAAAAAAAAUAAGGGGCAUAUGUUUAUUCAUAUUUUUAUUUAUGUAACGUAAGAGUGUGACUUUUAAUUCGUGACGUGCUUUCAUGGGCGUGCGCGCGGACCGGAUGGAGUUGCCAUGGAAACGGAGCGCAACACUGCAAAUGUCACGAGGAAACACCCCGUUUCUCGCUGAUUUCACUGUUUUCAGGAAUGGUUUAAUGUCUUCGAAAAAGUCCGUUAGCAUUUCUACCGUUUUCAGACGACGUAUCGUCAGAAGGGAGUGUCCAAGAUUUCAAUAUUUCUGAAGGGAGCUGCUGACAGAGAUGUAGGAAGCGCUAAAAACAUUCUUCAGUGCUGAUUCGGAGUGAACCUACUGUAAGACAACAUCUCCAAGAUGCUAUUGACCACAAGACUAGUACAGUUAUUAGAAACUGCACAGCACAGGACUUGCAGGACUUGUGAGGACUUCAGAUGAUACCAGUACUCAAAAGACCUUAGAUGAUGGCAACUAUAGAUGGACAUACAAACUACCGCCACUGCAAAAAAGAUUCUAAUUUGAAAGAAGUUUAUAAUGCAUGUUCGCUACUCCCAAUUCAGAAGACUGAAUCAGCCUGUGUAUCUGAAUGUUUCUCAUACUCACUCCUCUCUGCCACAUCUGAAUUUAGCUGUCAGUUAUAAACAUCAAAAUUAAAAGAAAUAAACAUUUGAAAUAUAUCAGUCUGUGUGUAAUGAAUAAAUAUAAUAUACAAGUUUCACUUUUUGAAUGGAAUUAGUGAAAUAAAUCAACUUUUUGAUGAUAUUCUAAUUAUAUGACCAGCACCUGUAUAUCAUUGCUCUUUUGUUGAUUUUGAUUACUUCCAUUGUCCUCAUUUGUAAGUUGCUUUGGAUAAAAGUGUCUGCUUAAUGUAAAUGUAAUGUUAAUGUGUAUUUAACUAUAUUUAUAAAUAUUUAUCUGUAUUUUUUAUUUUGUAAUAAUGUAAAUGUAUUUGUUUUAUAUCUAUACAUGCAGUUGUAUUCAUGUAUGUAUAUUUAUUUGUCUAAUUUUUAUAUUUUAAUAAAGCAGUUUAGACUACAUGAGUGUUUUCUUUAUUCUGGAUGAAUUACAUAUUCUUUUGUGUCUAGAAAGGGUUAAUAUGGGCCAUAUCUAACCCAGAAGUCAGCCACAACUGGGAUGGA